AACGAACGCUGGCGGCAAGCUUAACACAUGCAAGUCGAGCGCACCGCAAGGUGAGCGGCAGACGGGUGAGUAACGCGUGGGAAUCUACCCAACCCUACGGAAUAACCCAGGGAAACUUGGACUAAUACCGUAUACGCCCUUUUGGGGAAAGAUUUAUCGGGGAUGGAUGAGCCCGCGUUGGAUUAGCUAGUUGGUGGGGUAAAGGCCUACCAAGGCGACGAUCCAUAGCUGGUCUGAGAGGAUGAUCAGCCACAUUGGGACUGAGACACGGCCCAAACUCCUACGGGAGGCAGCAGUGGGGAAUAUUGGACAAUGGGCGCAAGCCUGAUCCAGCCAUGCCGCGUGAGUGAUGAAGGCCUUAGGGUUGUAAAGCUCUUUCAGUAGGGAAGAUAAUGACGGUACCUACAGAAGAAGCCCCGGCUAACUUCGUG
rnacentral:rRNA from 1 species